AUAAAACUCCCCCCCCCCCAAAAAAAAAUAAAAAAACAGAUCACUUGAUUCAUCUACAUAACACCACAUGAUCUCAGAAAAGUCCAAUUUGUCCCAGGGAACAAAGUUCUAUACAAGGUAUCCCCUGCCUCGCCCUCCAAUAAGGGUGCAGCCCCUGCCUGCUCCUACACCUCCUGCCCUGUAUUCACCUUACUUCUCUAGAGAACACACCAGCUGUUUGAGAUAGGGACACACCAGUCCCAUCCUGAAAAGUGUGUCUUUGUGCCUCCGUCAUCCCCAUCAUGCUCCUCUCGCUGAUCUGCACACAGCUCACUCCUGACAUGUAUAUUUCAGCUUCUCAGAAGUUUUCCUUGACCAUGCAAUCUAAAGAGCCAUGAGAGAGUCCCCAUAACUCAGAAUACUAUCAGAAUAGAUUCAUCUUGUCUGCCUGCUGUGAGAACCCAAGUUCCUCAUUCAGGAGACUCACUGUCCUAACAUGCACAGCCAAGAUGCAACUGAGGCACUAACUGCUUUGUGGAGAAAGUACACAAGCACUGAAGGUGGCCCACAUGCCAGGGUAACAUUGUCACUGGGCCAUUCCCUUUGUUGCCCAUUAGAGUGCAGUGUAUUUCCAAUGGCUCCACAUGGGUAUAUUUUGGGUUCUUAUAAACAAAUGAAGUUCUAUUCCUUAUCAUCCAUCUGCAACUUGUUUCUAGUUGCUCCAAGUGUCUGGCUUUCUUUAAAUGAUCAUUUUUUCAUUUGCCAAAACUAGAAAGUCAACCAUGUCAACAGGCGCCCCCUGGUUUACUGAGCUAAGUUUACUUAUUUCUUUGUGAACACUCAAAUUUGAGAUUGGGGAACCAUUGAAAUGUAAGCCUCAGCACAUCACUGAAAUCACAUCAAAUGUAAUUCAUCAUUUUUACUCUUUUUGCACCAAGUUCUACAGAGCUAACAAUUCUAG
rnacentral:lncRNA from 1 species